GAUGAACGCUGGCGGCGUGCCUAACACAUGCAAGUCGAACGAACAGACGAGGACUUUGCUCCUCUGACGUUAGCGGCGGAGGGGUGAGUAACAUGUGUAUAACCUACCUCACAGCCUGGGAUGCCUUCGGGAAAGCGUAGCUAAUACCGGAUGAUAUUUUGAACUGGAUCGUUCAAGAGUGUAAGUCGGUAUUGGUUUAGCUCAUAGCUUAAUCCCCGCGGGAUUAGCUAGUGGGCUAGGAAACGGCUUACCUAUGCAAGGACGGGAAGCCGACGCGAGAGGGGGAUCGGCGACCUGGGAACGGAGACACGGACCAGACUCCUGCGGGAGGCCGCAGUCGGGAAUCGUCCGCAAUGGACGAAAGCUUAACGGAGCAAACGCGCGUGAGAGAUGAGGAGCCUCGGAGCGUAAAGCACUGUUAUGAGGGAAGAACAAAUGUGUAGGUAACCAAGCAGCUAUUGACGGUACCUAGACAGAAAGCCACGGCUAACUACGUG
rnacentral:rRNA from 1 species